rnacentral:rRNA from 1 species
UACGUAGGCAGCGAGCGUUGUUCGGAGUUACUGGGCGUAAAGGGUGUGUAGGCGGUCCUCUAAGUUUGGUGUGAAAUCUCCCGGCUCAACCGGGAGGGUGCGCCGAAAACUGGAGGGCUAGAGUGCGGGAAGGGAGAGUGGAAUUCCUGGUGUAGCGGUGAAAUGCGUAGAUAUCAGGAGGAACACCGGUGGUGAAGACGGCUCUCUGGACCGCGACUGACGCUGAGACACGAAAGCGUGGGUAGCAAACAGG